rnacentral:lncRNA from 1 species
UCAAUAACUAAAAAUAAUUGAGUUAAUUCCUUAAUUAAAACCUAAUUAAAACUCACGCACACACUCACAAAACACACACGACACACACAGAGAUGCAGCGCCCCCCUCCCCCCCUCCUUCCUCACCGGCGUCGCCGGCUCUCCGGGCACCACCACCGGUGCACCUCCCUUCUCUCACCUCUCGCCUCACGCCCUCUCUCUCUUCUCAAACUCUCACGCACCCUUGAACCCAGACGCCGCGCCGCCUUCAUCUACUGCCGGCGAAGGUGACAGCAGCGAGGGCUGCGGCCGCCGCGGUUCCCUCUCCGGCGAAGCCGCGCCUGAGCGCCGCUCCCCUGGCUUCAUCUCUCUCUCUCACCACUCAGCCCUAAAUCCCCAAAAUCCAGAAUCUACCCUAAAUUCCCUAGCUUCAUCUUUCUCUCUCUCACCGCUCCGAUGGAUCUGUUGCCAUAUCGCCGCCUCGCUUCUUCUUCUUCACCCUAAGCGCCGUCUCCCUCAAAUCUCCGCCUCCAU